CAAGCAUGAAUGCUGCUAUUUUCCGCUUCUUUUUUUACUUUAGCACCUGACUCCGGGAGGCUAGCGCGUGAAAGAAGAAACGGAAAAUUAACGCCAAAAGCCUCCAACAGGAGGCUUUUUUUGU
rfam:Kluyvera intestini strain GT-16 tig00000000, whole genome shotgun sequence.